CUCCACCAUCACUGGUGUCCAUGCCAUGGAAUGUGGAGGAGUCAGAAGUGCUUUAAUGGAUGCUGUAGAAGCUGCUGCUAAAAGGUCUGCAGAAUUAUGUCCAAAGUAGUAGGACUGUAACAUUCAAGAUGACAGCUCCGUUCGUGUGUAUUCCACACAUCUGGAAGGAUCUGUUGGAAAAUAUUGCUGGCAUUUUGUCAUGAGUCGUUUGAGACCUUGCAGAUAUUUCCUCUGGGUCUCAUCAUUCAUCACAUGUGCUACAUUUUUUGAGAAGAUUUUUUCACGUCCUGUUCUGGCAUGUAUACCAACCAUAGUGACACCAAUGGGCCAUGGUGCAUUGCCUAUAGCCAUUUGUAGAUAUGAGUCACUAGCCUGCAAGUAUAAAAUAAAAACUGAUGUGAAAAUCA